GUGAAUCAUCGAAUCUUUGAACGCAUAUUGCGCCCUUUGGUAUUCCGAAGGGCAUACCUGUUCGAGCGUCAUUAUCACCCCUCGAGCCCCUUCGGCUCGGUCUUGGACGGUUUGGUUUUGGCGACAAAACCCCUCCUAAAGUUAAUGACGGUGGCCUGUCGGACCCCCGGUACACUGAGCUUCUUAACUGAGCACGUAUCGGUUUGUUAAAGGGUGGGCAGGACCCGGUCUUCUUCCUUUUAGACAGGAAAAUCUCUUUCCAAAAGGUUGACCUCGGAUCAGGUAGGGAUACCCGCUGAACUUAAGCAUAUCAAUAAGCGGAGGA
rnacentral:misc_RNA from 1 species